UACGAAGGGGGCUAGCGUUGCUCGGAAUUACUGGGCGUAAAGCGCACGUAGGCGGCUUUCUAAGUCGGGGGUGAAAUCCUGGAGCUCAACUCCAGAACUGCCUUCGAUACUGGAAAGCUCGAGUCCGGGAGAGGUGAGUGGAACUGCGAGUGUAGAGGUGAAAUUCGUAGAUAUUCGCAAGAACACCAGUGGCGAAGGCGGCUCGCUGGGCAGUGGCUGACGCUGAGGCGCGACAGCGUGGGGAGCAAACAGG
rnacentral:rRNA from 1 species